rnacentral:rRNA from 1 species
GAUGAACGCUGGCGGCGUGCUUAACACAUGCAAGUCGAACGGAAAGGCCCUGAUUUUCUGCUGUGCUCGAGUGGCGAACGCGUGAGUAACACGUGAGUAUCCUGCCCUUGACUUUGGGAUAACUUAAGGAAACUGGGGCUAAUAUCGGAUAGGAGCUCCUGCUCCAUGGUGGGGGUUGGAAAGUUUCGGCGGUUGGGGAUGGACUCGCGGCUUAUCAGUUUGUUGGUGGGGUAGUGGCUUACCAAGGCUUUGACGGAUAGCCGGCCCGGGAGGGGGACCGGGCACAUGAGGACUGAGGGACGGCGCAGUCUGGAACGGGAGGCAGCAGGCGGGAGUAUGGCACAGUGGGCGCGAGUGUGAGGCGACGACGCUGCGUUCGUAAAGACGGCCUUCUGGUGAUAAAACGCUGUCGCCUGAGACGAAGCGGGAGUGACGGUAAUGAGUAAAGAAGCACCGGCUAACUACGUG